AGGUCACGUGGGAUUGCUUGAAAAUGGCGAAACGAAACUUGUGAAUCGUGCAUUUGCUCUUCUUGGUAGCUGCCAGAAAAUCGAAUCAAGCUUAUGGGACACUGGAUUACAGGUUGCUGCCACUACUCCAUGUGCCCGCAAUUGUCUUGCGUGUAUGAUUACACUAACGGCGUCGCCCACCACGGCGGAAGUGUUUUGCGUACACGCGUUUCAGCAUGAAGCCUGCAGGUGGACGUAAAUUGUAGAAGGCAGCUAGUGGGGGAGAAGAUCAUGGUCAUAGGUCAUGUGACUCCUGGAGCUCCCAGUGGGCUCCCUUGUGGAGUACUUUUCAGAACACACACACAUACAGUUUGUUCACAGAACCAACGAGUAGGAUGUUGCUUGAAUACUGAGAGAAAAUGGCGUAACACAUACAAAUAUCGUGUGACACAUAUGGCAAU